rnacentral:rRNA from 1 species
GAUGAACGCUGGCGGCGUGCCUAAUACAUGCAAGUCGAGCGAACAGACGAGGAGCUUGCUCCUCUGACGUUAGCGGCGGACGGGUGAGUAACACGUGGAUAACCUACCUAUAAGACUGGGAUAACUUCGGGAAGCCGGAGCUAAUACCGGAUAAUAUAUUGAACCGCAUGGUUCAAUAGUGAAAGACGGUUUUGCUGUCACUUAUAGAUGGAUCCGCGCCGCAUUAGCUAGUUGGUAAGGUAACGGCUUACCAAGGCGACGAUGCGUAGCCGACCUGAGAGGGUGAUCGGCCACACUGGAACUGAGACACGGUCCAGACUCCUACGGGAGGCAGCAGUAGGGAAUCUUCCGCAAUGGGCGAAAGCCUGACGGAGCAACGCCGCGUGAGUGAUAAAGGUCUUCGGAUCAUAAAACUCUGUUAUUAGGGAAGAACAAAUGUGUAAGUAACUAUGCACGUCUUGACGGUACCUAAUCAGAAAGCCACGGCUAACUACGUG